rnacentral:rRNA from 1 species
UGGAUGAACGCUAGCUACAGGCUUAACACAUGCAAGUCGAGGGGCAGCAUGGUCUUAGCUUGCUAAGGCCGAUGGCGACCGGCGCACGGGUGAGUAACACGUAUCCAACCUGCCGUCUACUCUUGGACAGCCUUCUGAAAGGAAGAUUAAUACAAGAUGGCAUCAUGAGUCCACAUGUUCACAUGAUUAAAGGUAUUCCGGUAGACGAUGGGGAUGCGUUCCAUUAGAUAGUAGGCGGGGUAACGGCCCACCUAGUCUUCGAUGGAUAGGGGUUCUGAGAGGAAGGUCCCCCACAUUGGAACUGAGACACGGUCCAAACUCCUACGGGAGGCAGCAGUGAGGAAUAUUGGUCAAUGGGCGCAGGCCUGAACCAGCCAAGUAGCGUGAAGGAUGACUGCCCUAUGGGUUGUAAACUUCUUUUAUAAAGGAAUAAAGUCGGGUAUGCAUACCCGUUUGCAUGUACUUUAUGAAUAAGGAUCGGCUAACUCCGUGCCAGCAGCCGCGGUAAUACGGAGGAUCCGAGCGUUAUCCGGAUUUAUUGGGUUUAAAGGGAGCGUAGAUGGAUGUUUAAGUCAGUUGUGAAAGUUUGCGGCUCAACCGUAAAAUUGCAGUUGAUACUGGAUAUCUUGAGUGCAGUUGAGGCAGGCGGAAUUCGUGGUGUAGCGGUGAAAUGCUUAGAUAUCACGAAGAACUCCGAUUGCGAAGGCAGCCUGCUAAGCUGCAACUGACAUUGAGGCUCGAAAGUGUGGGUAUCAAACAGGAUUAGAUACCCUGGUAGUCCACACGGUAAACGAUGAAUACUCGCUGUUUGCGAUAUACGGCAAGCGGCCAAGCGAAAGCGUUAAGUAUUCCACCUGGGGAGUACGCCGGCAACGGUGAAACUCAAAGGAAUUGACGGGGGCCCGCACAAGCGGAGGAACAUGUGGUUUAAUCCGAUGAUACGCGAGGAACCUUACCCGGGCUUAAAUUGCAGAUGAAUUACGGUGAAAGCCGUAAGCCGCAAGGCAUCUGUGAAGGUGCUGCAUGGUUGUCGUCAGCUCGUGCCGUGAGGUGUCGGCUUAAGUGCCAUAACGAGCGCAACCCUUGUUGUCAGUUACUAACAGGUUCCGCUGAGGACUCUGACAAGACUGCCAUCGUAAGAUGUGAGGAAGGUGGGGAUGACGUCAAAUCAGCACGGCCCUUACGUCCGGGGCUACACACGUGUUACAAUGGGGGGUACAGAGGGCCGCUACCACGCGAGUGGAUGCCAAUCCCAAAAACCUCUCUCAGUUCGGACUGGAGUCUGCAACCCGACUCCACGAAGCUGGAUUCGCUAGUAAUCGCGCAUCAGCCACGGCGCGGUGAAUACGUUCCCGGGCCUUGUACACACCGCCCGUCAAGCCAUGGGAGCCGGGGGUACCUGAAGUGCGUAACCGCGAGGAGCGCCCUAGGGU